CCGUAGAAUACUGUCCAACCAGUAGAACCAUUGGCUUGCUCUGAAAAUCUGCUGCCUCCAACGCCGGUGAAUGGAAAUCAUGAAAAAGCUUUCAAGAUUUGCGCAACGAUCUACUUUGCAUCCGAAUGUCUCACUUGUUACUUCCAAUAAAAUAUGUUCUUCUUUGGCACAUGUA